rnacentral:misc_RNA from 1 species
AAUUCUCAAUCUUAUUAGGCUUUGUCUAAUGAGACUUGGAUGUGGAGGUUGCGGGCUUGUCUUCAGGUCGGCUCCUCUGAAAUGUAUUAGCUGGGUUUGCGCCUUCAGCCUAUUGGUGUGAUAAUUAUCUACGCCUCUUGGGUCGUUAGCGUGUAUUGACUUUCCAGCUUCUAAUCGUCUGCAAGGACAAUUUGAAAC